UGCUGGGUCUUCUUGCCCCGGAUCCUGACUGGCACUGGAUGUGGUGGAGGGGCAGAGUUCGAUCCCUGGCUCAGGCCGAUCAAACUCCGCCCUCAGUCUCUGUUGGAAGUCCCGAAAACUCCUGUCUGUCUCUCCCUGCUGCCAGAGGGUUGUGCUCCAGCCCCAUGCUGAUCCAGUCAGACACGUGAGGAUGGUAGUGAUCUCGUCUGUGUCUGCUGCCCCACUGAAGGGUCCCGGGACAAUUGGGCGGUCCCACACGGGGCUGGGCACGUCGCUGGAGAUGGUGGUAGGUGUGUGGUGUGGAGGGGGGUGGACGUCUUCUCCAGCAGGUGUGGACGCUGGUGCUGCGCUGCCAUUUUGCUGGGGAACGUCCGGGCAGAGGGAAGGCGGGUCGGCGACUGGAGCAGGAAUGGAGGAUUCCCUGCGAGGCAGUCCCGGCAGCGCAGUUGCUGGCUGGCGACCUCCCGUCGCCCUCUUCCACCAGCUUUCCUCACACUGCUGGGAGGGACGUGGGUCUCCACGGACCUCGUGACGCUCCUGGAUGGGCGCGAUGGGCGGAGCCAUCCCGGCACCGACUGCCCAAACGGCGUCAUCCUGGUCGUCGUCCGUGUCAACCUCGUACCCCCGGAAGUCACAUGGGUCAUCACGGACGCCGCGAUGAUCUCGGACGCGCACGCUGGGCGGAGCCAUCCCGGCACCGACCGCCCACCGAAAAUCCACGUCAUCAUCGCUUUCGUCAUCCGUGUCCUCCCACCGGUGACUCCAAGGGUCGUCCACCCUGCGGACAUCCUGGACCCAUGGCGCGAUAAGCUCCCAUGGGCAGUACUCUGGCCAUUCGGGCUGGAGGCUGCCCACCUCCUCGCUGGAGGAACGCCGCCGUUGUUGUUGCCGCUUCUCACCCCCCCUGGAAGUGACGUGGGUCCCCACGGACCUUGCGACGAUCGCAGACUGGUGCGAUGGGCGGAGCCCAACUCUCGUCUCCCGUGCUCUCGUCGUCGUCCGUGUCGUCCCAG
rnacentral:lncRNA from 1 species